rnacentral:lncRNA from 1 species
UUUAUUUAUUUCCGGAUAUUUUUUCUGUGAUACCAAGUAGCAACCUUAAUUGAAAAAAAAAGAAAACCUUAAUAAUCAUCAGGAUCACGUGAAUGAUAUUUACUUCAUGCUAACCUGCCUUUGGUUUUGAACUUCUAUUCUGACUUCCACUUAGGUUUUCACCUUUUUAGGGUCUUUUGAGAUAAGUAUCAACCAUGUUUCUUCUCUUGGGAAGAUUCUGCUUGCUUUCUUACUCUGGUUUUGGUUCUUCUUAGUUAUAAGGUUGUGCUUAAUUAAGCUCUCAGAUUUGUCCAUCAACAUCUGCAGAAACGUAUCUUUAAGGAGAAAGUAAGAAACAUAUGCCUUAUAUAACGAUUCCUUUAAUAUCUCAUGUCCCUUAUACUAAUCAAGGAUUUAUUACCUCCAUUUACUUGUUGUAACUUUAGGAAAAAUUUAUGAUUUGAAUCUGCAAUCCUAUAUCUUGUGAAUUCCCCUAUUUUUCAAGGGUGUGUCUUGGGGAGUCUACGGCUGGUAAAAUUUACUGUGAAACAACAAAAUUACAAGCUGGUUUGAGCUCUUAUCUUGAUAUAUUCUUGUCGCAGUGGUUAAUAAAGAAUGGAGAUUACACAAGUGUAAAGAAGAAUGAAAAAAAAAAAUUGUCAAGCUCCGUUCUUUAACGGCUUUAUAACGGCUUGACUCGACAUGGGCUUAAGAUUUUCGAAGGCCCAUCUUGCUCCUUUCUCUUGUUACUCGUGCUAAGCCCAUCACUACAAGAGCCCAACCUAAACGGAAACUGAAGAAUAAUUGAACCGGGAAUCACAACGAUUUACAGCGAGUUUGGUUUUGGUUUUACGAUGAUCUUCCUGAUUCGGAGGACAAAAAUAAAUCACUUGAAGCAUUUCUUUAAGUAAGUCACUUACUCAAUCGUGGACAUUUUUUCUAUCUUAAGUAUUAUUUUUCUAUCUUGGAAUUUUCCAAGACUCUGGUAGACCUCUGUUUCCAAUUAAAUUAGC